rnacentral:rRNA from 1 species
UACAGAGGUCCCAAGCGUUGUCCGGAAUCAUUGGGCGUAAAGGGCGCGUAGGUGGCCCGGUCAGUCGAUGGUGAAAGCGCGGGGCUCAACUCCGCGUCGGCCGUCGAUACUGCUGGGCUUGAGCACUGUAGAGGCAGGCGGAAUUCCGGGUGUAGCGGUGGAAUGCGUAGAGAUCCGGAAGAACACCGGUGGCGAAGGCGGCCUGCUGGGCAGUGGCUGACACUGGAGGCGCGACAGCGUGGGGAGCAAACAGG